GACGAACGCUGGCGGCGUGCCUAAUACAUGCAAGUCGAGCGCUGAAGGUUGGUACUUGUACCAACUGGAUGAGCAGCGAACGGGUGAGUAACGCGUGGGGAAUCUGCCUUUGAGCGGGGGACAACAUUGGGAAACGAAUGCUAAUACCGCAUAAAAACUUUAAACACAAGAUUUAAGUUUGAAAGAUGCAAUUGCAUCACUCAAAGAUGAUCCCGCGUUGUAUUAGCUAGUUGGGGAGGUAAAGGCUCACCAAGGCGAUGAUACAUAGCCGACCUGAGAGGGUGGUCCGCCACAUUGGGACUGCGACACGGCCCAAGCUCCUACGGGAGGCAGCAGUAGGGGAUCUUCGGCCAUUGGCGAAAGUCUGACCGAGCCACGCCGCGUGAGUGGAGAAGGUUUUCGGGUCGUAAAACUCUGUUGGUAGAGAAGAACGAUGGGGAGAGUGGAAAGCUCAUCAAGUGACGGUAACUACCCAGAAAGGGACGGCUAACUACGUG
rnacentral:rRNA from 1 species